rnacentral:lncRNA from 1 species
CAUAUUCAGCAUAACAUUAGUGCUAAGGUCUAAUGCUUUGGGAGUGUUAAAUAUGAAUUUCAGUUAACCUACACAUUCAGUUAACCAGCUUAACUAUUCUCUAGCCAGUCUGGGUGCACAGCCACUCAUUGUAGUGGAAGCAGAUGAUGAAGUUAACCAUGACGGUCACCUUUGAGGGAGGCCAUCAGCACACCCAUGAGACCCAAGAAGACCCAGCUCUCCAGAUCCCCCAGAAUCACGCAGGCCACCCUCUCCCUACUUUCAUCGCUCAAAAGAUCACAAGGAACUACUGUGCUGCUGAACACAGAAAGCAAGGUUUCCCUGCGAUACCCCCACCUGGUAACAGAGGCUCCUGGAGAGCAUUUUAGAGAGAUAAAUGAAGGUCAGCUUUACUCUGGAAGGAUUCCAGGGAGGGGAAACUCACCAUUCUGGAAGCUUUGUCUUGAAAUCCAGCAGCCACAGAAGAGGGAAGUCCCUUGAAUUAAACUGCAUUAUUUCUCAGGAGCAGGG